GAUGAACGCUGGCGGCGUGCCUAAUACAUGCAAGUCGAGCGAACAGACGAGGAGCUUGCUCCUCUGACGUUAGCGGCGGACGGGUGAGUAACACGUGGAUAACCUACCUCUAAGACUGGGAUAACUUCGGGAAACCGGAGCUACUACCGGAUAAUAUAUUGAACCGCAUGGUUCAAUAGUGAAAGACGGUUUUGCUGUCACUUAUAGAUGGUUCCGCGCCGCAUUAGCUAGUUGGUAAGGUAACGGCUUACCAAGGCAACGAUGCGUAGCCGACCUGAGAGGGUGAUCAGCCACACUGGAACUGAGACACGGUCCAGACUCCUACGGGAGGCAGCAGUAGGGAAUCUUCCGCAAUGGGCGAAAGCCUGACGGAGCAACGCCGCGUGAGUGAUGAAGGUCUUCGGAUCGUAAAACUCUGUUAUUAGGGAAGAAAAGAUGUGUAAGAAACUAUGCACGUCUUGACGGUACCUAAUCAGAAAGCCACGGCUAACUACGUG
rnacentral:rRNA from 1 species